rnacentral:rRNA from 1 species
UCCGUAGGCGGGUAAUUAAGUCAGAGGUGAAAUCCCACAGCUUAACUGUGGAACUGCCUUAGAUACUGGUUAUCUUGAGUUUUAGUGAAGUAGAUAGAAUGUGUAGUGUAGCGGUGAAAUGCAUAGAUAUUGCACAGAAUACCGAUUGCGAAGGCAGUCUACUAACUAACAACUGACGCUAAUGGACGAAAGCGUGGGGAGUGAACAGGAUUAGAUACCCUGGUAGUCC